rnacentral:ncRNA from 6 species
UACGUAGGUGGCAAGCGUUGUCCGGAUUUACUGGGCGUAAAGAGCGCGCAGGCGGUCGUUCAAGUCGCGUGUGAAAGCCCCCGGCUCAACUGGGGAGGGUCACGCGAUACUGAUCGACUCGAAGGCAGGAGAGGGUAGUGGAAUUCCCGGUGUAGUGGUGAAAUGCGUAGAUAUCGGGAGGAACACCAGUGGCGAAGGCGACUACCUGGCCUGUUCUUGACGCUGAGGCGCGAAAGCUAGGGGAGCAAACGGG